rnacentral:rRNA from 1 species
AUUGAACGCUGGCGGCAUGCCUUACACAUGCAAGUCGAACGGCAGCACGGGUGCUUGCACCUGGUGGCGAGUGGCGAACGGGUGAGUAAUACAUCGGAACAUGUCCUGUAGUGGGGGAUAGCCCGGCGAAAGCCGGAUUAAUACCGCAUACGAUCUACGGAUGAAAGCGGGGGACCUUCGGGCCUCGCGCUAUAGGGUUGGCCGAUGGCUGAUUAGCUAGUUGGUGGGGUAAAGGCCUACCAAGGCGACGAUCAGUAGCUGGUCUGAGAGGACGACCAGCCACACUGGGACUGAGACACGGCCCAGACUCCUACGGGAGGCAGCAGUGGGGAAUUUUGGACAAUGGGCGAAAGCCUGAUCCAACAAUGCCGCGUGUGUGAAGAAGGCCUUCGGGUUGUAAAGCACUUUUGUCCGGAAAGAAAUCCUUGGCUCUAAUACAGUCGGGGGAUGACGGUACCGGAAGAAUAAGCACCGGCUAACUACGU